rnacentral:misc_RNA from 1 species
GGGGUUAAUAAAGGUGCUCGCAAUAAGAGUUAGAAUAUAGAUAAUACAGAGAAAUAUGAUUAGUGUUUGACACCUACAAAGCACAAACCAACUUCAGCUUGCGCCUGCAACUCUUCUAAGAGUUUAACAAUGUUCUCACGGGGCAUCGAGGCAUCAGUCUGCUCUGACAAGAUCUUCCUCACUCUUUGAACUAUUGCAGUGUUUCCAUGACCAGUGCAAAUAAUAAGCAUAGCAUUUAGAGGAAGAUUGGAGUAAAUGCUCUUGACUCUGCGAUUCAUGCGACCUAAUAUAUCCUUCAGUUCAGGAGUGAUGUCAAA